UGCUGGAGGUAUCAGAAGUGCGAAUGCUGACAUAAGUAACGAUAAAGCGGGUGAAAAGCCCGCUCGCCGGAAGACCAAGGGUUCCUGUCCAACGUUAAUCGGGGCAGGGUGAGUCGACCCCUAAGGCGAGGCCGAAAGGCGUAGUCGAUGGGAAACGGGUUAAUAUUCCCGUACUUGGUGUUACUGCGAAGGGGGGACGGAGAAGGCUAUGUUGGCCGGGCGACGGUUGUCCCGGUUUAAGCGUGUAGGUGUGUGUUCCAGGUAAAUCCGGUUCACUUUAACACUGAGGCGUGACGACGAGGCACUACGGUGCUGAAGCAACAAAUGCCCUGCUUCCAGGAAAAGCCUCUAAGCAUCAGGUAACAUCAAAUCGUACCCCAAACCGACACAGGUGGUCAGGUAGAGAAUACCAAGGCGCUUGAGAGAACUCGGGUGAAGGAACUAGGCAAAAUGGUGCCGUAACUUCGGGAGAAGGCACGCUGACACGUAGGUGAAGUGAUUUACUCAUGGAGCUGAAGUCAGUCGAAGAUACCAGCUGGCUGCAACUGUUUAUUAAAAACACAGCACUGUGCAAACACGAAAGUGGACGUAUACGGUGUGACGCCUGCCCGGUGCCGGAAGGUUAAUUGAUGGGGUCAGCGCAAGCGAAGCUCCUGAUCGAAGCCCCGGUAAACGGCGGCCGUAACUAUAACGGUCCUAAGGUAGCGAAAUUCCUUGUCGGGUAAGUUCCGACCUGCACGAAUGGCGUAAUGAUGGCCAGGCUGUCUCCACCCGAGACUCAGUGAAAUUGAACUCGCUGUGAAGAUGCAGUGUACCCGCGGCAAGACGGAAAGACCCCGUGAACCUUUACUAUAGCUUGACACUGAACAUUGAGCCUUGAUGUGUAGGAUAGGUGGGAGGCUUUGAAGCGUGGACGCCAGUCUGCGUGGAGCCG
rnacentral:rRNA from 1 species